rnacentral:rRNA from 1 species
CUACGGGCCGCAGCAGUGAGGAAUAUUGCACAAUGGGGGGAACCCUGAUGCAGCAACGCCGCGUGGAGGAUGACGGGUUUGGGGUGGGAAAAUAGUUUUAUAUGUCGAGAAAAUGACGGUAGCAUAUGAAUAACCACCGGCUAACUCCGUGCCAGCAGCCGCGGUAAUACGGAGGGUGCAAGCGUUACUCGGAAUCACUGGGCGUAAAGGACGCGUAGGCGGGUUGGAAAGUCAGGUGUGAAAUCCUACAGCUUAACUGUAGAACUGCACUUGAAACUUCUAAUCUAGAGUAUGGGAGGGGGAGAUGGAAUUAGUGGUGUAGGGGUAAAAUCCGUAGAUAUCACUAGGAAUACCUAAAGCGAAGGCGAUCUCCUGGAACAUUACUGACGCUAAGGCGUGAAAGCGUGGGGAGCAAACAGGAUUAGAUACCCCCGUAGUC